rnacentral:rRNA from 1 species
AUGCGUUGGGGCUUGACGGUAGUGUAUGAAUAAGCAUCGGCUAACUCCGUGCCAGCAGCCGCGGUAAUACGGAGGAUGCAAGCGUUAUCCGGAUUCAUUGGGUUUAAAGGGUGCGUAGGCGGCUUUUUAAGUCGGGGGUGAAAUCCUGCCGCUUAACGGUAGAAUUGCCAUUGAUACUGAAGAGCUUGAGUCCAGUUGAGGUAAGCGGAAUGUGUAGUGUAGCGGUGAAAUGCUUAGAUAUUACACAGAACACCAAUUGCGAAGGCAGCUUACUAAGCUGGCACUGACGCUGAUGCCCGAAAGCGUGGGGAGCGAACAGGAUUAGAUACCCUGGUAGUCCACGCCGUAAA